rnacentral:rRNA from 1 species
ACGGCCGCAAGGUUAAAACUCAAAGGAAUUGACGGGGACCCGCACAAGCGGUGGAUUAUGUGGAUUAAUUCGAUGCAACGCGAAAAACCUUACCUACCCUUGACAUGCCAGGAACUUUCCAGAGAUGGAUUGGUGCCCGAAAGGGAACCUGGACACAGGUGCUGCAUGGCUGUCGUCAGCUCGUGUCGUGAGAUGUUGGGUUAAGUCCCGCAACGAGCGCAACCCUUGCCAUUAAUUGCCAUCAUUUAGUUGGGCACUUUAAUGGGACUGCCGGUGAUAAACCGGAGGAAGGUGGGGAUGACGUCAAGUCCUCAUGGCCCUUAUGGGUAGGGCUUCACACGUAAUACAAUGGUCGGUACAGAGGGUCGCCAACCCGCGAGGGGGAGCCAAUCUCAGAAAGCCGAUCGUAGUCCGGAUUGUUCUCUGCAACUCGAGAGCAUGAAGUCGGAAUCGCUAGUAAUCGCGGAUCAGAAUGUCGCGGUGAAUACGUUCCCGGGUCUUGUACACACCGCCCGUCACACCAUGGGAGCGGGUUCUGCCAGAAGUAGCUAGUCUAACCGCAAGGGGGACGGUUACCACGGCAGGGUUCGUGACUGGGGUGAAGUCGUAACAAGGUAACC